UGUGAUGAUGAGCUCAAACUGAUCAGAUAGUUGAUGACUGAGUCUGAAUUGAGC
rfam:Ajellomyces capsulatus H143 genomic scaffold supercont2.8, whole genome shotgun sequence.